UCUCGGAGUCGCCCGCGCCCUGCGGGGCCGGAGCGGGCUGGUGCCCGUGCCUCCCGCCGCCCCCCCCACUGAUCUGACUCCUUUAUAAUUUGGAAAAACUCCCAUUCUCACAAGCCCUCCCCUACAUGGACUCACGAAAAGCAUCUUGCUGUUGGGAACUCUUCCUCCACCUUAUGAAGAAGGCCAGGCUCGCUUGCUGAAGAGAUGGGGCUCCAUCUAGAGCCAGCGCCAAGCAACAGACACGUGAGUCAGCCCCAGCUGCGCCGCCCGCUGGCUGCAGGUGCAGAAGUGACCUUAGUUGAGACCGCAGACUGCCCCGAUGCGCCUCCACCAAGGGGUUAACAUGGGCCAUAAGCAAAUAAAGUAGUUCUCUAACGCAUUCUUAAUAAAUCAUGGUAAACAUGCAGAGUAGAGGAGGAAGAAAAGUGAAACAAUAUGUGUGGAAUAAAGAUAGAAGAGAGGAAGGGUGAAAUGUGAUUAGGGCCAUUUCUGUUCUUCGGGGACUUCCAAAAUCGUGGACAGGCAUGUACGCAGACCUGUGGUAGAUGGGCCCUUGGCCUCGUACUGUCCUUGUGGAUUUUUGAGAAUGACUGCCACUGUCAUUCUCAUUGAUUCACGGGGUUGUCCUGUUAUCACUGAUGAAUUCAAAAACAGUUAUCUUAGUAAAGCACAUUCUCAGGUACUAGACUCAACUAAAUUCCUGAUUAAGUAGAUUUUCCUAAAGAUUUCCUGAAAGCAGUGAGAUAAAUGUCUUAAAACCAAAAAAAUGUCAUAACUGCAAAGUGAUUGGGAGAGGCUUAUAGCUCAGUGGUUCAGUGCGUGCUUACUGCGCAUGAGGUCCUGGGUUCAAGCCCAAGUACCUCCAUUAACAU